CCGCGUGAGUGAUAGAGGCGUUUCGGUCGUAAACUCUGUUGUAGGGAAGAACAAGUGCUAGUUGAAUAAGCUGGCACCUUGACGGUACCUAACCAGAAAGCCACGGCUAACUACGUGCCAGCAGCCGCGGUAAUACGUAGGUGGCAAGCGUUAUCCGGAAUUAUUGGGCGUAAAGCGCGCGCAGGUGGUUUCUUAAGUCUGAUGUGAAAGCCCACGGCUCAGCCGUGGAGGGUCAUUGGAAACUGGGAGACUUGAGUGCAGAAGAGGAAAGUGGAAUUCCAUGUGUAGCGGUGAAAUGCGUAGAGAUAUGGAGGAACACCAGUGGCGAAGGCGACUUUCUGGUCUGUAACUGACACUGAGGCGCGAAAGCGUGGGGAGCAAACAGGAUUAGAUACCCUGGUAGUCCACGCCGUAAACGAUGAGUGCUAAGUGUUAGAGGGUUUCCGCCCUUUAGUGCUGAAGUUAACGCAUUAAGCACUCCGCCUGGGGAGUACGGCCGCAAGGCUG
rnacentral:rRNA from 1 species